rnacentral:rRNA from 1 species
UUCAAACUUGAGAGUUUGAUCCUGGCUCAGAACGAACGCUGGCGGCAGGCUUAACACAUGCAAGUCGAACGCCCCGCAAGGGGAGUGGCAGACGGGUGAGUAACGCGUGGGA